AAAGCCUGUCUCAGUUCGGAUUGGAGUCUGCAACCCGACUCCAUGAAGCUGGAUUCGCUAGUAAUCGCGCAUCAGCCACGGCGCGGUGAAUACGUUCCCGGGCCUUGUACACACCGCCCGUCAAGCCAUGGAAGCCGGGGGUGCCUGAAGUGCGCUGCCGCAAGGAGCGCCCUAGGGUAAAACCGGUGACUGGGGCUAAGUCGUAACAAGGUAGC
rnacentral:rRNA from 1 species